CACGUAGGGCGCAAGCGUUGUCCGGAAUUAUUGGGCGUAAAGAGCUCGUAGGCGGUCUGUUGCGUCUGCUGUGAAAACCCGGGGCUUAACCCCUGGCUUGCAGUGGAUACGGACAGACUAGAGGUAGGUAGGGGAGAAUGGAAUUCCCGGUGUAGCGGUGAAAUGCGUAGAUAUCGUAAGGAAGACCAGUGGCGAAGGCGGGUCUCUGGACAGUUCCUGACGCUGAGGCACGAAGGCCAGGGGAGCAAACGGG
rnacentral:rRNA from 1 species